AUUGGUGGUUCAUUAAAGCGAUGAACCUUAAAAGGGAAUCCGGUGUGAAUCCGGAGCAGUCCCCGCUGCUGUAAGUUCCAGUUAAUAUUUUCAAUUGGUAAGCCACUGCCUGAAUAGAAGUAGAAAGGUGGGAAGGCAUUGAAAAUGGAACGAGCCAGAAGACCUGCCAAAGCAA
rnacentral:ncRNA from 1 species